rnacentral:lncRNA from 10 species
AAACAGCAUACCAGGAAAACACAACUCAGAUCUUCCUGGCUCUUCCACUAGCUGUGAGACAUGGGGCAAGGCUCCAGAUUCAGCUGGGCCUUUAUUAACCAGCCCUGGAGUUAAAUCAUCAACCCAGAGGUCUGUCCUAGCCCUGGAGCCCAAGGAGACCCCUGAUUAUGCAGCAAGCAGGUUGGGCUCACAUAUUUUCCCACCGAUAGACAAGAGAUUACCAGAAAAGGGGUGAGGAAUCCAGAGAGAAUGUCUGCAUAAGAAGGAGGGUGGAGAUUUCUUACUGAACUAAAGGCUUCAAGAAUUGGCAAAUACCUGCUCAACUUUUGUAUUUCUGAUGACUGGAUGACUCCACCUGGACCCGAGACUCAUGACUCACCCAGUCCUGUGGCCCCACCCAGAAGUGGACUCAGAGCAAGAGGACCAUUUUCCACACCCCAAUGAGUGCAUCCCCAACCAAUCAGCAGCACCUGUUCCCUAGCCCCCUGACCACCAAACUCUCCUUGAGAAACCGUAGCCUCCAAAUUUUCUGGGAGGCUGAUUUGAGUAAUAAUAAAACUUUGGUCUCCUAUGUAGCUGGCUCUAUGUGUAUUAAACUCUUCCUCUAUUGCAAUUCCCCUGCCUUGGUAAGUCGG